rnacentral:rRNA from 1 species
AAAUAGACUACCCCAGGUAGUCCACGACCGUAAACCGAGUGAAUGCUAGGGUGUUAGGGGGUUUCGAUACCCUUGGUGCCGAAGUUAAACACAUUAAGCAUUCCGCCGUGGGGGACGUACGGUCGCAAGACUGAAACUCAAAAGGAAUUGGACGGGGGACCCGCGACAAGCAGUGGGAGUAUGUGGUUUAAUUCGAAGCAACGCGAAGAACCCUUACCAGGGUCUUGACAUCCCCCUGACCGGUCUAGAGAUAGGGCCUUUCCUUCGGGGACAGGGGGAGACAGGUGGUGGCAUGGUUGGUCGUCAGCUCGUGUCGUGAGAUGUUGGGUUAAGUCCCGCAACGAGCGCAACCCGUUGACUUUAGUUGCCACGCAGGUAAAGCUGGGGCACUCUAGAGUGACGUGCCGGUGACAAACCGGGAGGAAGGUGGGGGAUGGACGUCGAAAUCGAUCAUGCCCCGUUUAUGUACCGUGGGGUCUACCACACGUACCUACAACUGGCCGGUACGAACGGGAAGCGAAGGAGGCGGAUCGUGG